CACCCAUGGCAUAGGAGGUUCCCAGGCUAGGGGUCCAAUCAGAGCUAUAGCUGCCAGACUACACCGGAGCCACAGCAAUGCACGAUCCAAGCUACAACUGUGACCUACACCACAGCUCACAGAACACCAAAUCCUUAACCCACUGAGCGAGGCCAGGGAUUGAACCUGCAUCCUCAUGGAUGCUAGUUGAGUUCUUUAACCACCAAAUCAUGACAGGAACUCCAGGUAUUUCACUUUUUUUGGUCCAGCUUCCUUAUUGAAACGUUAACUUCAGGUAGGUAGAAGACUCUGUCUUUUACUUUUUUAUAUUGCUCUUUGCUGGUAAAUGCCGAGUGUUUUCAAGACCAGCUUACUUGCAUGUAAAAUGAUUUGUAGAUAUUUUCUUAUGUGGCAGUGAUAGAAGUGAAAACAUAGAAGAAUAUAAAAAUGCAAUGCAUCAUUUUUUUGUAAAGCAUACUCUCAAGAGACAUAAGUGUAUAUGGUACACAUAAUUCCCUUUAACUCAUGCCUCAAAUAUACAAAAAUACAUUUCUGAUGCUAACUUCAUCAUAGUUUGUAGAAUUGGUAAAUAUCUAAAUCUGUAAGCCACAUACAUAUAUAAAGUCACUCACUUGUUAUCACUCAAAUUAUUAAAGCCCAUAUAUUAAAUGAAAAUUUUAUAAAUGAAGAUGACAGCGCUAUCUCGACACAGUAUUAAAAGCUCUUCAUCCUUUUUUUAAAGUGCAGGUAAAGCCUUAUCUGAAAAGGCUCAAAGGAUCAACUGCUAAUGUAGCUUCCAUUUGUCUUUACUAGUAUCAUAAAAAUUUGUUCUUAGAACCUUCCACCUUCUACCUGCCCCAAAUUCUGCCCUAGAGCUUAAUAUAGUAAAGGCUCUGAUAUCUGGGUGAUAAGUCAUUCACUGAUAUUGGGCACUGACUAUAUGCCAGGACUUCAGCUAAGUACUAGUCUACUAAUCUUGCCUUUCUGUUGGAGAUAAAUUACAAGAAAUGUGCAUAUUAAGCCCACAAUUAGGAUUGAGAAAUAUGAGAUGAUGGAAAGUCAAAUGUUAACCACCAACAGCAACUGAAGGUUUCAGGAACAUGAAAACUAGAAGGUUGUUGAGUGAGAAGUAUCUUUGCUUUCUGUCGAGGAUUCAGACUACACUGGAAGAACAUGAGAUACGUUUUUAGUCACCCAGGAAGUGUAUUCUCCUUUACUAAGACACUAGCUAGGGGCAAAUAAUCACUUUCUUCUACUCAAUGCCAUUUUCUGAUUUACCUUAUAUAGGCCCAUCCCAAUUUCAAUAAUAUGAUAACUCAGAGAGAUAAAAGCAUUUCAACAACUUUACAGAAGUAUAAUAUCUAAAUACAGAACGAAUUUCCUUCCUAUUUCAUCCUAGUCCACUGAUGCUCCCAUUUAAAAAAUCUCAUUAGCAAGAGGUUUUCAAUUCAAUUCUAUAUAAAUAAUGUGUGGUUCUCUCUAUGUACCCACUAGAUUGUUACCUACUUCAGAGCUGGAAAACAUACAUUUUCUUUGAAGUUCUUUAGCUCCUAGGGAAGAAUCAUACAUAAAAUUAGCAGGCAUCUUUAUAAUGGAUUAAACACUUAUUUUAAAAAUAUUUACAACCUCCCAUCUUAGAUUUCUACCUGCAGAGGAGGUAUAACAUAUUUAUUAAAAAAGAAGAUUAACAGGUAUCAAAAAUAAAUCUUAAAGAAACUAGUACAUAAUUACCUAAUUACUUAAUUGGUAUAUUCUCCCAGAAAAUUAGAAAGAGCAUGCAUUGAUAAGGAAGAGUUUAUUUGAGGGUGGGAGGAUAGAUGGCUAUAAGCAGCAGGCGACACUGACAGGUUUGCCCACUUCAAGGAACCUUAAGAAAGAAUCCAGAGUUCUCAUUAUGGCUCAGCGGAAACAAAUCUGACUAGUAUUCAUGUUGACGCAGGUUCCAUCCUUCACCUCGCUCAGUGGGUUAACGAUCCAGCUUUGCAGUGAGCUAUGGCGUAGGUCACAGACGUGGCUCGAAUCUGGAGUUGCUGAGGCUGUGGCGAAGACUGGCAGCUACAGCUCUGAUUUGACCCCUAGCCUGGAAACCUCCAUAUGCCACGGGUAUGGCCCUAAAAAGACCAAAAAAAAAAAAAAAAAGAAUCCCUCACCUGUAAACUGUUCAUUUAAAAGACAGAUAUGUGAGAAAGAUUUUAUGAAAAUAUUGUUUUCUAUUUAAAAUUCAUUUAAAUGUUUGCCUGUUUAAAAAUGUAUCUUGAAAUAAGGAAAUAUAAAGAAAAUGAAAUAUUAAAAACAAAUUUAAGAUUUUCCUUCUGAAUUUCAUGAUGAAAGAUGUAAUAGCUUCCCCCCAAUUAUAUCACUAAGAUUCCAGCUGCAAGACAUUUGACUUAGAUUUAAAACUAGAAAUGCAAGUGAUAUAACUGGCAUAGUAGUUUAUUUGAUUAAAUUACAAAGGAAAAAAAUAAGCCUUAUUUCUCUUUUCAAUUGCUAAAGAAUGACUGUCUUUCUAUAUUUGUUUGAACAAUCCAGACAAUGCUGAAUAAAUGUUGAGUGAGUGAAUAAAUUAAUUAUUAAAUGAAUGAAUCUAGCUCUUAUCUUUGUAUCACAACACUUAAUACAAUGCUUGGCACACUGUACCCCAAAAAUGUUCAGUGAAGUGGACAUUUCCUCCCACAGCCUGGUGAGAAGACUUGUGCAGAAUCAUUUCUCUAAGAUUUCUCUUGAAUCUCAUAUUUCAGCCUCCUCCAUCUCAUGUACUGGAUUAAAGAAACUGACCUUCAUUUGGAAAUAUUCAGGUUACAAAACAACUAUCACAUGAAAGAGUAGAGCAGCUUGCCUCAAUCCAGUGUAAUCCUCGGUUUCCAAGCACCCAUAAAAUAAUCUGCUAGAAUUUAUAAACAUUCCUUUGGUAUUUAAGUGGGUAAAGAAAUAAGCUAAGCAUGAAAUGAUGCACCAGAAGAUACUAUGGCAGGUGGUGGCUCGAAAAGUACAAACAAUUCAACCAAAUUUCAUGUCAAAAUAGCAAGUCCAAUGAAUGCAAUAGUUCACUCUGCUUUACACAUAUCUACUUUUCAGAAAACUAAAACUUUGUUUUUUUGGCGGUGGGGGGGGUGUCUUUUUUGGGGGGGGACUGCACCCAUGGCAUAUGGAGGUUCCCAGGCUAGGGGUCAAAUUGGAGCUGUAGCUGCCGGCCUACACCAUGGCCACAGCAACGUGGGAUCCGAGCCAAGUAUGCAACUUACACCACAGCUCACAGUAACACCUGAUCCUUAAUCCACGGAGCAAGGACAGGGAUCAAACCGUCGUCCUCAUGGACACUAGUCAGAUUCAUUUCUGCUGAGCCACGAUUGGACUUCCCUUUUUUUUUUUGAGAAAACUAAAACUUUGUAACUCAUAAGAGCACAAAACAAGUUUAAACAGCACAUUUAUUUGUAAUACUGGUGUAGAUGGUUGUCCAGGGUUGAUCUGCUUUUCAAUUACUGUAACAUGUAAGAAAAGUUAAAUUCUUUUCACCUCAGCAACUAUAGAACCCUAUUUGUGAUUUAAAAAAAUUAGAAACAUCGAAUAGCAAAUUCAAUUAGUAAAUUUGCAGCCGCUUUCUUAAUCUACCAUAUUUAAAAAAUUUAAUUAUCCCAAACAAAGCUUUAUUAGCUAAGUUAUACAUAAUGCAUUUUUAUGUACCUAAAUAAAUUAAGCAUUGUAAAGGCCUUAAAAUAAGCUUUGCAUAUAAUUUCCUGUUCUUCCAAGGGGCUGGGAGGAAUGACGAUUGAGAUUCUCUCCAUGACUUAUAAACUUUUCAAAUUUUCUUACGUUUUGUGUAAAUAGCUAUAAACUAACUUAUAAGAAAUACAUGAACAAAAUCUUUACUGGAUAGUUUUUAAAGGUAUUUUAUUUUGUAAAGUACUAGGUUUAGCAUCAGUGAUUCACAAAGAAGAAUCUUAUCUCAGAUCUGUUCUUACCCCUCACUAUCUUGCUCAUAAACCUAUGUUUAUUUUUAAAAGAUAGGGAUGGUCCUGAGAAGCUAUGGGGAAGGAAAUGAAACAAUACUUUUCAAAGAAAAGUGUUACUCACAUAAUUAACUAUGUAACUUACAAAAUAGGAGAUGAUAAGAUUUCUAGUCAAAGUGAAGAACUGAAGAAGCAGGUACUACCUCCAUUUCCUUCAGCCCUUUACCAAGAAAAUCCUCCAAAUAUUUGUCUGUACUCACUAUUCCAGUUCCUCUUUCCCACUUUCCCUUAAGCCCAUUACAAUCUGAUUUACAGGCUCAUCACACAACUGAAACUGCUAGAUCCAAUAGUAAGUCAAUUCAACAGCCUUUCAUUCAGUUGACUACUCUCUUCUCCUUGGUUCACUUUCUUCACUUGGCUUCCUCCUACACUGGUUUCUCCUUUUUGUACCCUCAUUAUUUAGGGAGGAUGCACCCCAGUGCUCAGCACUUGGACUCUUCUCAUUAUACAUUCACAUUCAAUUCCUGGGUGACUUCCCUCCACUCUCACAGUGUGAAAUACUAUGUCCAUACUAAUGACUCCCCAGUUUUUAUCUCCACUCCAGGCCACUUGCCAGAAUCCCAGGCACACACACAUCUAACCAUCUACUUCACAUUUUCAUUUGGAUGAACAGAGGUUUUAGAGACUCACUAUGCCCAAGCUGUUCUCCUGAUAUGUGCACACUCCUGCCCCUGCCAAAACCUGCUGCUGCAGCUGCUUCCCAUCUUAGUUGAUGGCAACUUCAUUCUUCUCAUUACUGGAGCAAUCCUUGACAUCACUUUUCUAUCACACACCAAAUCCAGUUCAUCUGCAAGCCCUGUUGGUCCUAGCUUUAGAAUAUUUCUAAAAUUCAGAGUUCUUGCUGUGGCCCAGCGGAAACGAAUCCCACUAGGAAUCAUGAGGCUGCAGAUUCAAUCCCUGGCCUGGCUCAGUGGGUAAGGAUCUGGCGUUGCCAUGAGCUGUGGUGUAGGUUGCAGAUUCGGCUUGGAUCCUGUGUUGCUGUGGUGUAGGCUGGCAGUUGUAGCUCUGAUUCGACCCCUAGACUGGAAAUUUCCAUAUGCCAUGAGUGUGGCCCU
rnacentral:lncRNA from 1 species